GAUUGAACGCUGGCGGCAUGCCUUACACAUGCAAGUCGAACGGCAGCACGGGAGCAAUCCUGGUGGCGAGUGGCGAACGGGUGAGUAAUGUAUCGGAACGUACCUUUCAGUGGGGGAUAACGUAGCGAAAGUUACGCUAAUACCGCAUAUUCUGUGAGCAGGAAAGCAGGGGAUCGCAAGACCUUGCGCUGAUUGAGCGGCCGAUAUCAGAUUAGCUAGUUGGUGAGGUAAAGGCUCACCAAGGCGACGAUCUGUAGCGGGUCUGAGAGGAUGAUCCGCCACACUGGAACUGAGACACGGUCCAGACUCCUACGGGAGGCAGCAGUGGGGAAUUUUGGACAAUGGGGGCAACCCUGAUCCAGCCAUGCCGCGUGAGUGAAGAAGGCCUUCGGGUUGUAAAGCUCUUUCGGCCGGGAAGAAAUCGCAUGGGUUAAUACCCUGUGCGGAUGACGGUACCGGCAUAAGAAGCACCGGCUAACUACGUGCCAGCAGCCGCGGUAAUACGUAGGGUGCGAGCGUUAAUCGGAAUUACUGGGCGUAAAGCGUGCGCAGGCGGUUUUUUAAGACAGGCGUGAAAUCCCCGGGCUCAACCUGGGAACUGCGCUUGUGACUGGAAGGCUAGAGUAUGGCAGAGGGGGGUGGAAUUCCACGUGUAGCAGUGAAAUGCGUAGAGAUGUGGAGGAACACCAAUGGCNAAGGCAGCCCCCUGGGCCAAUACCGACGCUCAUGCACGAAAGCGUGGGUAGCAAACAGGAUUAGAUACCCUGGUAGUCCACGCCCUAAACGAUGUCAACUAGGUGUUGGGUGGGUAAAACCAUUUAGUAUCGGAGCUAACGCGUGAAGUUGACCGCCUGGGGAGUACGGCCGCAAGGUUAAAACUCAAAGGAAUUGACGGGGACCCGCACAAGCGGUGGAUGAUGUGGAUUAAUUCGAUGCAACGCGAAAAACCUUACCUACCCUUGACAUGUCCAGGAGCCUGAAGAGAUUUGGGUGUGCCCGAAAGGGAACUGGAACACAGGUGCUGCAUGGCUGUCGUCAGCUCGUGUCGUGAGAUGUUGGGUUAAGUCCCGCAACGAGCGCAACCCUUGUCGUUAAUUGCCAUCAUUUAGUUGGGCACUUUAACGAGACUGCCGGUGACAAACCGGAGGAAGGUGGGGAUGACGUCAAGUCCUCAUGGCCCUUAUGGGUAGGGCUUCACACGUCAUACAAUGGUCGGUACAAAGGGUUGCCAAGCCGCGAGGUGGAGCCAAUCCCAGAAAGCCGAUCGUAGUCCGGAUCGCAGGCUGCAACUCGCCUGCGUGAAGUCGGAAUCGCUAGUAAUCGUGGAUCAGCGUGUCACGGUGAAUACGUUCCCGGGUC
rnacentral:rRNA from 1 species